AAGCAGAGGAGCGGCAGGCCCAGCGUCCAGAGAGCUCCGGCCCCGGCCGCAGCUGCAGAGGUGGACGGGGCUCGGUGACAGCCCCGAGAUUUAACUCACGACCUUCCCCGGCAUCGGCAUCAUGAAGCUGCUUGCGGUGACUGUGCUGCUCCUCACCAUCUGCAGCCUCGAAGUGUGCAGGGGCUUUGGUUCGAAGGCAGGCGGAGGAGUCGAAUGUGCAGGGGCUGCUCUCUCAGUACUUCCAGACUGUGGCUGACUAUGGCAAGGACCUGGUGGACAAGGCCAAGGGCUCAGAGCUCCAGGCCCAGGCUUACUUGGAGAAGACACAGGAGCAGCUGACACCCCUGGUCAAGAAGGCUGGAAAUGAUCUGAUUCACUUCUUCAGUUACUUCACGGACCUCAAAACACCAGCCCCAGCUUCCCAGUGAGGCGUCUGUUGUCUUUCAUCUCCAGCUGGCUCCAGAGCCCUCUCUGUCCCCACUCCUUGUUUCUACAAUAAAUAUUACAAGAGUUGA